UUUUUUUCUUCUCUUUCAUCUGUUUUAUUAUGUAAUUUUUAGUUUUUUUUCUCAAUUCUCAUAAUUGCAAGAUAUAUUUUUUUUCCAUACUUAUGAGAACAUGUGUAGGAUUUUUUCUAUAUUAAUUAUAAGAUUUUCUCUUUCCAUUCACCCCUAAGGUCAGCGUCAUCUUUUUUGCCCAAUUUUCUUCCUCUCUCAGCAAGAAACAAAAGCUACACUCAUUUUUAUCACCAUACAUAUCCAAAAUGGAUGAGGACUGAGAUCUCUUUGCCAUCGUCAAAAGCUGCUAAUAAGCUACCAAUACUUCCACCACAACAAUUCCAAAAACCACCAACAAUACUACUUCAUCUUCUCUCCUCACUUCCUUUCUCGAGAAAGACAGAUAUGAUGCAUUUUCCUUUCCCAAUACAAUCGAACCCAUAACAAAUGAAUUUCACUAGCUCCACCAAUUCUUUUCACCCUUUAAUCCCA
rnacentral:lncRNA from 1 species